rnacentral:rRNA from 1 species
CCUACGGGAGGCUGCAGUGAGGAAUAUUGGUCAAUGGGCGCGAGCCUGAACCAGCCAAGUCGCGUGAGGGAAGACGGUCCUAUGGAUUGUAAACCUCUUUUGUCGGGGAGCAAAAGACGCCACGCGUGGCGUUCCGCGAGUACCCGAAGACAAAGCAUCGGCUAACUCCGUGCCAGCAGCCGCGGUAAUACGGAGGAUGCGAGCGUUAUCCGGAUUUAUGGGGUUUAAAGGGUGCGCAGGCGGAAGAUCAAUUCAGCGGGAAAAUUAAGAGGAUCAACCUCUUCGAGCCGUUGAAACUGGUUGUCGUGAGUGAGCGAGAAGUAUGCGGAAUGCGUGGUGUAGCGGUGAAAUGCAGAGAUA